CUACGGGGGGCACCAGUGAGGAAUAUUGGACAAUGGUCGAAAGACUGAUCCAGCCAUGCCGCGUGCAGGAUGACUGCCCUAUGGGUUGUAAACUGCUUUUAUACGGGACGAAAAACACCUACGUGUAGGUGACUAACGGUACCGUAAGAAUAAGGACCGGCUAACUCCGUGCCAGCAGCCGCGGUAAUACGGAGGGUCCAAGCGUUAUCCGGAAUCAUUGGGUUUAAAGGGUCCGUAGGCGGGCUAUUAAGUCAGAGGUGAAAGUUUGCAGCUCAACUGUAAAAUUGCCUUUGAUACUGAUAGUCUUGAAUUGUAGUGAAGUGGUUAGAAUAUGUGGUGUAGCGGUGAUAUGCAUAGAUAUCACAUAGAAUACCGAUUGCGAAGGCAGAUCACUAACUAUAUAUUGACGCUGAGGGACGAAAGCGUGGGGAGCGAACGGGAUUAGAUACCCGCGUAGUC
rnacentral:rRNA from 1 species